rnacentral:rRNA from 1 species
GAAACGAAAACAUGCAGGUCGACGAGAGACCAUUCGGGUCUCUAGUGGCGAACGGGUGAGUAACACGUAGGGAACCUGCCCGCGCACCGGGAAUACGCCCUGGAAACGGAGAACAAAUCCCGAUGUACAGGAAGGAGGCAUCUUCUUUCUGUGAAACAUCCUUUCGGGGAUGGGGCGCGGAUGGACCUGCGGUGCAUUAGUUGGUUGGCGGGGUAAAGGCCCACCAAGACGAUGAUGCAUAGCCGGCCUGAGAGGGCGGACGGCCACAUUGGGACUGAGACACGGCUCAGACUCCUGCGGGAGGCAGCAGUAGGGAAUUUUCGUCAAUGGGCGCAAGCCUGAACGAGCGAUGCCGCGUGAGUGAAGAAGGCCUUCGGGUCGUAAAGCUCUGUUGCGGGGGAAAAAAGGCAGCAUCAGGAAAUGGGUGCUGACUGAUGGUGCCCCGCCAGAAAGUCACGGCUAACUACGUGCCAGCAGCCGCGGUAAUACGUAGGUGGCGAGCGUUAUCCGGAAUGAUUGGGCGUAAAGGGUGCGCAGGCGGUCCUGCAAGUCUGGAGUGAAACGCAUGAGCUCAACUCAUGCAUGGCUUUGGAAACUGGAGGACUGGAGAGCAGGAGAGGGCGGUGGAACUCCAUGUGUAGCGGUAAAAUGCGUAGAUAUAUGGAAGAGCACCAGUGGCGAAGGCGGCCGCCUGGUCUGUUGCUGACGCUGAGGCACGAAAGCGUGGGGAGCAAAUAGGAUUAGAUACCCUAGUAGUCCACGCCGUAAACGAUGAGGACCAAGUGUUGGGGGUGAAACCU